rnacentral:rRNA from 1 species
GACGAACGCUGGCGGCGUGCUUAACACAUGCAAGUCGAACGGAAAGGCCCUUCGGGGUACUCGAGUGGCGAACGGGUGAGUAGCACGUGGGUGAUCUGCCCUGCACUUUGGGAUAAGCCUGGGAAACUGGGUCUAAUACCGAAUAGGACCACGGCCUUCAUGGGUUGUGGUGGAAAGCUUUUGCGGUGUGGGAUGGGCCCGCGGCCUAUCAGCUUGUUGGUGGGGUAAUGGCCUACCAAGGCGACGACGGGUAGCCGGCCUGAGAGGGUGACCGGCCACACUGGGACUGAGAUACGGCCCAGACUCCUACGAGAGGCAGCAGUGGGGAAUAUUGCACAAUGGGCGCAAGCCUGAUGCAGCGACGCCGCGUGAGGGAUGACGGCCUUCGGGUUGUAAACCUCUUUCAGCAGGGACGAAGCGCAAGUGACGGUACCUGUAGAAGAAGGACCGGCCAACUACGUGCCAGCAGCCGCCGUAAAAC